ensembl:lncRNA
CAAUACAACAACAGCAAGAGCAUUAUCUAUGAAGCGCCUUGAGGCGACUUUUGUUGUGAUUUGGCGCUAUAUAAAUAAAAUUGAAUUGAAUUGAGCAUUAGAUCGUCAUCAACAAACAUGUCACAGGAAGAAAUCAGAGAGGAGGCAGAGAACAGAGUCUACAAUAUUCUCAAGAUGGCUGCUGGUGUUACCACAGGGCUGUUGUUGGGAGCACUGCUUGGUGUGCCGGGAAUGAUUGCAAACGUUGUUAAAAUGCCGAGGACUUUGAAAAUACCAGUGAAAAUACCAGCAAGUGCCGUAGUGACAGGAGUGGCAACACAGGGAGAACUUCCAACGACUGGUGUUAAAUUGGAUACAGUUGCACAGCUUGCUGCUACUGCAGGAGCAAUAGGUGGAGGUUCCAUAGGAUAUCGUGAAGCUGAUAAAGCAGAUUCAAUAAUAGAGGCAGUUGUAAACACAGCUGAGGCUCUUGGUGUACUAGCUGUAGAAGCAGGAAGAACUCUCACAAACCCUAAAACAGAAUGUGUUAAUCAUUUAGAAAAAGAUGAACACAUUUCAAGACACGUGCAAUGCUCUAAACUCCUUAUCAUCAUUUUAUUACCAUUUUAAAGUGUCACAUUUGAACAGCACAUAUCUGUAUUAAUUCUUGAUUACUUUGUUUGGCUAAGGCAAGUCUUGCUUGGUUGCUUGUGAAUUUCACUUGUUGUUUUGUGGUAAAUGUUCUGUGAUAAUCCUUAAUAAUACAUUUGUAAUAAUUCAUGCUGCUGGGUGUGGGUUUAAAUUGGUUUCAUUUUUCAGUACAUGUGUACAAUAAAUUUCCCCAGUCCUCUAAUCAACGUCUGUGUAUAUAGAGCCCUUCAUCCUGACAUCCUUUUGUCUUCCAUUAUUCCUGUUUUCUCCCCCAGUGUGACUUCAGUUUGUAUCCAUGGAUUUUAUUUUGUCAGCAACAGAAAACAAAGUUUUGCCUUUGGUUUAAUUCUGUCCCUGGAGUCAUCAGUACAUUAAUACAGUAGCUCUCAGAUACUGGAGUACCUGGAGAGAACCUGGGGAGACAUGAACAUUGCAUUUUCAAUCACUGAUCAAACUCGGGUUUCUGAUCACCUGACCUUCCCAGCUGUCACAGAUCACCUGCGGAUCGUUUCGUCUGAAGCCUUCUCUCC